UACGUAGGGGGCUAGCGUUGUCCGGAUUUAUUGGGCGUAAAGAGCGUGUAGGCGGCCAGGUAGGUCUGGUGUGAAAACUCGGAGGCUUAACCUCGAGAUGUCAUCGGAAACCAUCUGGCUAGAGUCCGGAAGAGGAGAGUGGAAUUCCUGGUGUAGCGGUGAAAUGCGCAGAUAUCAGGAAGAACACCAAUGGCGAAAGCAGCUCUCUGGGACGGUACUGACGCUGAGACGCGAAAGCGUGGGGAGCGAACAGG
rnacentral:rRNA from 1 species